GAACGCACAUUGCGCCCUUUGGUAUUCCAAAGGGCAUGCCUGUUCGAGCGUCAUUUGUACCCUCAAGCUUUGCUUGGUGUUGGGCGUCUUUUGUCUCCAGCUCGCUGGAGACUCGCCUUAAAGUCAUUGGCAGCCGGCCUACUGGUUUCGGAGCGCAGCACAAGUCGCGCUCUUGCCCAGCCAAGGUCAGCGUCCAGCAAGCCUUUUUUCAACCUUUGACCUCGGAUCAGGUAGGGAUACCCGCUGAACUUAAG
rnacentral:misc_RNA from 1 species